GAACGCGAAAGCCCCGCAAGGGGUAAGUAGAGUGGCAAACGGGUGAGUAACGCGUGGGUGAUCUGCCUCUGAGUGGGGGAUAACCUUCCGAAAGGAGGGCUAAUACCGCAUGACAUUGCGCUCUUAGAUGAGUGCGUAUCAAAGCUGGAACCGCAAGGUCUGGCGCUUGGAGAGGAGCCCGCGUCCGAUUAGCUAGUUGGUGGGUUAAUGGCUCACCAAGGCAACGAUCGGUAGCCGGCCUGAGAGGGCGGACGGCCACACUGGGACUGAGACACGGCCCAGACUCCUACGGGAGGCAGCAGUGGGGAAUUGUUCGCAAUGGGCGCAAGCCUGACGACGCAACGCCGCGUGGAGGAUGAAGAAUUUCGGUUCGUAAACUCCUGUCGAGCGGGACGAAAGAUGCGCGGGUUAAUACCCCGCGCAAGUGACGGUACCGCUAAAGGAAGCCCCGGCUAACUCCGUGCCAGCAGCCGCGGUAAUACGGGGGGGGCAAGCGUUGUUCGGAAUUACUGGGCGUAAAGGGCUCGUAGGCGGCCAACUAAGUCACACGUGAAAUCCCUCGGCUCAACCGGGGAACUGCGUGUGAGACUGGAUGGCUUGAGUUUGGGAGAGGAAUGCGGAAUUCCAGGUGUAGCGGUGAAAUGCGUAGAUAUCUGGAGGAACACCGGUGGCGAAGGCGGCAUUCUGGACCAAUACUGACGCUGAGGAGCGAAAGCCAGGGGAGCAAACGGGAUUAGAUACCCCGGUAGUCCUCCUAAACGAUGAAUACUUGGUGUGGCGGGUAUCGAUCCCUGCCGUGCCGAACUAACGCAUUAAGUAUUCCGCCUGGGGAGUACGGUCGCAAGAUUAAAACUCAGACGGGGGCCCGCACAAGCGGCGGAGCAUGGGAUUCGAUGCACGCAAUUACCUUUGAAUACCACCCUAUGGGUCUUACUACGGCAGUCUGUAAACUCCGUCUGGGA
rnacentral:rRNA from 1 species